UACUGAGCGCCGGCUAUAAAAGUUGUGACGCGUAAGAGGCGUCUCACACGUCCCUUCUCCUUUUUAUUCCUUUUAACGGUUUUGAUUUUCCGACAGGUCGAAGUACAUAUAAUAGAACAUAAAGCAUUUUGAUUAUAGACGUGCUUUAAAAAUAAUAUACAUAUGUUUAUAUAUAUAUAAAUAUAUAAUUUUU